rnacentral:rRNA from 1 species
CUUUUACAAUGAAGAGUUUGAUCCUGGCUCAGGAUGAACGCUAGCUACAGGCUUAACACAUGCAAGUCGAGGGGCAUCAGGAAGAAAGCUUGCUUUCUUUGCUGGCGACCGGCGCACGGGUGAGUAACACGUAUCCAACCUGCCCUUUACUCGGGGAUAGCCUUUCGAAAGAAAGAUUAAUACCCGAUGGGAUAAUCAUUCCGCAUGGUUUGAUUAUUAAAGGAUUCCGGUAAAGGAUGGGGAUGCGUUCCAUUANNNNNNNNNNAUGGUUUGAUUAUUAAAGGAUUCCGGUAAAGGAUGGGGAUGCGUUCCAUUAGGUUGUUGGUGAGGUAACGGCCCACCAAGCCUUCGAUGGAUAGGGGUUCUGAGAGGAAGGUCCCCCACAUUGGAACUGAGACACGGUCCAAACUCCUACGGGAGGCAGCAGUGAGGAAUAUUGGUCAAUGGGCGCGAGCCUGAACCAGCCAAGUAGCGUGAAGGAUGACUGCCCUAUGGGUUGUAAACUUCUUUUAUAUUAGAAUAAAGUGCAGUAUGUAUACUGUUUUGUAUGUAUAAUAUGAAUAAGGAUCGGCUAACUCCGUGCCAGCAGCCGCGGUAAUACGGAGGAUCCGAGCGUUAUCCGGAUUUAUUGGGUUUAAAGGGAGCGUAGGUGGACUGGUAAGUCAGUUGUGAAAGUUUGCGGCUCAACCGUAAAAUUGCAGUUGAUACUGUCAGUCUUGAGUACAGUAGAGGUGGGCGGAAUUCGUGGUGUAGCGGUGAAAUGCUUAGAUAUCACGAAGAACUCCGAUUGCGAAGGCAGCUCACUGGACUGCAACUGACACUGAUGCUCGAAAGUGUGGGUAUCAAACAGGAUUAGAUACCCUGGUAGUCCACACAGUAAACGAUGAAUACUCGCUGUUUGCGAUAUACAGUAAGCGGCCAAGCGAAAGCAUUAAGUAUUCCACCUGGGGAGUACGCCGGCAACGGUGAAACUCAAAGGAAUUGACGGGGGCCCGCACAAGCGGAGGAACAUGUGGUUUAAUUCGAUGAUACGCGAGGAACCUUACCCGGGCUUAAAUUGCAGUGGAAUGAUGUGGAAACAUGUCAGUGAGCAAUCACCGCUGUGAAGGUGCUGCAUGGUUGUCGUCAGCUCGUGCCGUGAGGUGUCGGCUUAAGUGCCAUAACGAGCGCAACCCUUAUCUUUAGUUACUAACAGGUCAUGCUGAGGACUCUGGAGAGACUGCCGUCGUAAGAUGUGAGGAAGGUGGGGAUGACGUCAAAUCAGCACGGCCCUUACGUCCGGGGCUACACACGUGUUACAAUGGGGGGUACAGAAGGCAGCUACCUGGUGACAGGAUGCUAAUCCCAAAAGCCUCUCUCAGUUCGGAUCGAAGUCUGCAACCCGACUUCGUGAAGCUGGAUUCGCUAGUAAUCGCGCAUCAGCCACGGCGCGGUGAAUACGUUCCCGGGCCUUGUACACACCGCCCGUCAAGCCAUGGGAGCCGGGGGUACCUGAAGUACGUAACCGCAAGGAGCGUCCUAGGGUAAAACUGGUGACUGGGGCUAAGUCGUAACAAGGUAGCCGUACCGGAAGGUGCGGCUGGAACACCUCCUUUCU